rnacentral:tRNA from 1 species
GGAGGAGUGGCAGAGUGGUCGAAUGCACCGGUCUUGAAAACCGGCGAUGUGCAAGCAUCCGUGGGUUCGAAUCCCACCUCCUCCGCCA